rnacentral:rRNA from 1 species
UACGGAGGGUGCAAGCGUUAUCCGGAUUCACUGGGUUUAAAGGGUGCGUAGGUGGGCAGGUAAGUCAGUGGUGAAAUCUCUGGGCUUAACCCAGAAACUGCCGUUGAUACUAUCUGUCUUGAAUGUAGUGGAGGUGAGCGGAAUAUGUCAUGUAGCGGUGAAAUGCUUAGAUAUGACAUAGAACACCCAUCGCGAAGGCAGCUCGCUACACUAUUAUUGACACUGAGGCACGAAAGCGUGGGGAUCAAACAGG